rnacentral:rRNA from 1 species
UACAGGGGGUGCAAACGUUGCUCGGAAUCAUUGGGCGUAAAGCGCACGUAGGCGGCUUUCUAAGUCGGAGGUGAAAUCCUGGAGCUCAACUCCAGAACUGCCCUUUGAUAACUGGGGAUCUCGAGUCCGGAAGAGGUGAGUGGAACUCCGAGUGUAGAGGUGGAAAUUCGUAGAUAUUCGGAAAGAACACCAGUGGCGAAGGCGGCACACUUGGCCGGUACGUGACGCUGAGUGCGAAAGCGUGGGAGCAACAGG